UACGGGGGGAGCAAGCGUUGUUCGGAUUUACUGGGCGUUAAAGGGCGCGUAGGCGGCCACUGCAAGUCAGUUGUGAAAUCUCCGGGCUUAACUCGGAAAGGUCAACUGAUACUGUGCGACUAGAGUGCGGAAGGGGCAACUGGAAUUCUCGGUGUAGCGGUGAAAUGCGUAGAUAUCGAGAGGAACACCUGCGGCGAAGGCGGGUUGCUGGGCCGACACUGACGCUGAUGCGCGAAAGCCAGGGGAGCGAACGGG
rnacentral:rRNA from 1 species